AUGAGAGCCAGCCUCUGUUCGUCUCAUGUCGCAACGGUCUUCCCAACCAGACCAGAGCGGGGCUCCUGCAGGUACACUUCGGCCUCGUGCCCUGAGGGCCUCCCCGGGUCCGCCCGCCCAGCGUGGGGGCACACAGUCUGCGGGUGUCUGGCACCUGAUGUGGAGACAUCCUUUGCCUGCAGGGCCCAUGGGCAUCAUGGUGCCCCGUGGUGGCCAUCCAGGACCUCAGUCCUCCUGCACAUGAGUCUACAUCACCCCCUCCAGUGCUGGACUAUGCAGCAGCGCGAGCCGAUCUUUCCCUCAUGUGGGAGGGAGCAAAGGGAUAGAAAGGACAUCUUUACCCACCUACACCACAAACACCUUCCCCCACCUCAGAGGGAUUGGAAGCCUGUCUUCUUGAGAGCUCAAUCACUGGGAUAUCAUGAAUGUUUCCAGGAGAAUACAUUCUCUCCGUGCUCACAGACAGAAAGCUCCAGCAAACACUGGGGAGAACUGGCAGAAUUCCUGUGGCUCCAAACAGUGGUGUAGAGAUGAACUAGCUACACUCCAUACACUCCUCUACACAGUGAUCAUCAUGGUUAUCCUAAUGGCAAUUUGGGGAGCCUGGGCAAGGAAAGACGCCUACUCAUAGCUGCAAAAUGCUGUCUUUGAUAAAAACUUAGAGACACUCAUGAGGAUUAAAAAUACAAAGGAAGGGUCAUAACUCAUGGUCUUUGCAAAUUAUAGCUCAUCUUUAAUUUAAAGGCAGAACUGCUUCUGCCAGUGGAUUUGAACCAGUGAACCCACUUCGUGGACAAAGUACAGAACACAACUUCAAUGAGAAAGUGGAAUAUUAGUAAUGUAACACUGUUCAGUGUAACAUAUGUAAAUGAAACUGUAUGUUAAAUACAGUCUGAUGGGGGGAAUGUGAUUAAUACUUUUGCUGGUCAAAAUAUUUUUACAUCUGUCCCACUUUCCAUUUUUGACUUGAGUUGCUCGUUUGCUUGUUGUUUUAUAUUAUAGCAGGGAGUUGUGAUAAUGCUGGAGGGGGCCUACCUGAUUAUGAGCAAGCAAAGACCUCUGAUCUAGCUGAGUUCCCAACUCAGUUGCUAGAGAGAAGCGUUGUAGUUUGAGUUAUGUAGUUCUGUUUGAUUUUAUGUUUAUGUAAACAUCUCUUUUUGUUAAAAUCUGCACAGCCUCAGGAAUAAACUGUGGGGAAAACUAUAUUUGUAAGAGUCU
rnacentral:lncRNA from 1 species